rnacentral:rRNA from 1 species
AAAUUGAAGAGUUUGAUCAUGGCUCAGAUUGAACGCUGGCGGCAGGCCUAACACAUGCAAGUCGAACGGUAACAGAAAGCAGCUUGCUGCUUUGCUGACGAGUGGCGGACGGGUGAGUAAUGUCUGGGAAACUGCCUGAUGGAGGGGGAUAACUACUGGAAACGGUAGCUAAUACCGCAUAACGUCGCAAGACCAAAGAGGGGGACCUUCGGGCCUCUUGCCAUCGGAUGUGCCCAGAUGGGAUUAGCUUGUUGGUGGGGUAACGGCUCACCAAGGCGACGAUCCCUAGCUGGUCUGAGAGGAUGACCAGCCACACUGGAACUGAGACACGGUCCAGACUCCUACGGGAGGCAGCAGUGGGGAAUAUUGCACAAUGGGCGCAAGCCUGAUGCAGCCAUGCCGCGUGUAUGAAGAAGGCCUUCGGGUUGUAAAGUACUUUCAGCGGGGAGGAAGGGAGUAAAGUUAAUACCUUUGCUCAUUGACGUUACCCGCAGAAGAAGCACCGGCUAACUCCGUGCCAGCAGCCGCGGUAAUACGGAGGGUGCAAGCGUUAAUCGGAAUUACUGGGCGUAAAGCGCACGCAGGCGGUUUGUUAAGUCAGAUGUGAAAUCCCCGGGCUCAACCUGGGAACUGCAUCUGAUACUGGCAAGCUUGAGUCUCGUAGAGGGGGGUAGAAUUCCAGGUGUAGCGGUGAAAUGCGUAGAGAUCUGGAGGAAUACCGGUGGCGAAGGCGGCCCCCUGGACGAAGACUGACGCUCAGGUGCGAAAGCGUGGGGAGCAAACAGGAUUAGAUACCCUGGUAGUCCACGCCGUAAACGAUGUCGACUUGGAGGUUGUGCCCUUGAGGCGUGGCUUCCGGAGCUAACGCGUUAAGUCGACCGCCUGGGGAGUACGGCCGCAAGGUUAAAACUCAAAUGAAUUGACGGGGGCCCGCACAAGCGGUGGAGCAUGUGGUUUAAUUCGAUGCAACGCGAAGAACCUUACCUGGUCUUGACAUCCACAGAACUUUCCAGAGAUGGAUUGGUGCCUUCGGGAACUGUGAGACAGGUGCUGCAUGGCUGUCGUCAGCUCGUGUUGUGAAAUGUUGGGUUAAGUCCCGCAACGAGCGCAACCCUUAUCCUUUGUUGCCAGCGGUCCGGCCGGGAACUCAAAGGAGACUGCCAGUGAUAAACUGGAGGAAGGUGGGGAUGACGUCAAGUCAUCAUGGCCCUUACGACCAGGGCUACACACGUGCUACAAUGGCGCAUACAAAGAGAAGCGACCUCGCGAGAGCAAGCGGACCUCAUAAAGUGCGUCGUAGUCCGGAUUGGAGUCUGCAACUCGACUCCAUGAAGUCGGAAUCGCUAGUAAUCGUGGAUCAGAAUGCCACGGUGAAUACGUUCCCGGGCCUUGUACACACCGCCCGUCACACCAUGGGAGUGGGUUGCAAAAGAAGUAGGUAGCUUAACCUUCGGGAGGGCGCUUACCACUUUGUGAUUCAUGACUGGGGUGAAGUCGUAACAAGGUAACCGUAGGGGAACCUGCGGUUGGA